GAUGAAGAACGCAGCGAAAUUCGAUAAGUAAUGUGAAUUGCAGAAUUCAGUGAAUCAUCGAAUCUUUGAACGCACAUUGCGCCCGCCAGUAUUCUGGCGGGCAUGCCUGUUCGAGCGUCAUUUCAACCAUCAAGCCCCCGGCUUGUGUUGGGGACCUGCGGCUGCCGCAGGCCCUGAAAACCAGUGGCGGGCUCGCUAGUCACUCCGAGCGUAGUAGUUACAUCUCGCUCAGGGCGUGCUGCGGGUUCCGGCCGUUAAAAGCCUUAUUUACCCAAGGUUGACCUCGGAUCAGGUAGGAAGACCCGCUGAACUUAAGCAUAUCAAUAAGCGGAGGA
rnacentral:misc_RNA from 1 species